rnacentral:rRNA from 1 species
UACGUAGGGACCGAGCGUUGUCCGGAAUCAUUGGGCGUAAAGAGCGUGUAGGCGGCCACUUAAGUCCUGCGUGAAAUCUCGGGGCUCAACCCCGAGCGGUCGUGAGAAACUGGCAGGCUAGAGUGCGGGAGAGGAGAGUGGAAUUCCUGGUGUAGCGGUGAAAUGCGCAGAUAUCAGGAAGAACACCCGUGGCGAAGGCGGCUCUCUGGAACGCAACUGACGCUGAGACGCGAAAGCGUGGGGAGCAAACAGG